UGAACAAAAAGAAAGAAAGAAAAGGUUUCCUUCUGAGAGUACUUUUCUGUCAUUUAAUCCGUUUACAUGUUUCUUUACUCUUACCUUUCUUGCUUGCUUUCUGACCACCAGGGAUACAAUGUUAGCACAGGGUCACUGGGGCUCUGUCCAGCUCUAGACAGAUGUUGCUAUAGUCAGAGUUUUAUGAUGACAGAAUGAGAUUUCCAGAAUGCACUGGUGAGUUCCAUGGCAAUUGUUAAGCUUGUCAUUUAGAGGAAAUGAAAGGAAGUCAUUGAUUACUUUCAACACUCACUAUCUUUGCUUUGAGUGUGUAAAAUGCUUUUGUAUUUCCCAUCCAAAACUAACAGACAGUAGCCCCCCAAAAUAGGCCACAUUAUUCAUAGUCCAAGAUUCUCAGGCAUCAUAAUUUACGCUGAGCUGAAAGAAAUUAUGACUUUUAAAAGGAGUUCAGUCUUGCUAGACAAUAUAUUCCUCUGACCGUUCUCCAGGAACAUUGCUUAAAAUAACAGCUGUGAAUUAUAGGUCUCCAGUAAGUACAAAGUUGGUGGGUUUUUUUCUUCUUCUUUUUCUUCUUCUUUUUAAGGAAAAGCAUCUGAUGAACAGUUGCCUCAAUGAUUUAGAGGACUCAUUCCAGGUUUUAAUAAUCCCAUGUGGCUUUAAAAUAUUUUAAUACUUUUCUUCAACAUGUUUCCCACUAUAUAAAUGUGAAAUUAGUGGGACAAUUGAAAUGGGAGGAACAAGAUUCUCAUUCUUCAGUAUAACAAGUAUUUUUAGGGAUCAGGAUGAACACACAGAUCUCCAGCAAGAAAUGGAAACUGAAAUUUUGAGACUUCAGAUCAAAACUUUGAAAAUGAUUUUUAACUCUGCUUCCAUAACUGGUGGGCUCAUCAGUCUCCUCACAACAGUAAGAAUUUGCCUUCAAGUUAUCAUCAAGAAGCAGGCUUUCCUGACUGACAGUCAUUCCCAUAGAAACAUCUUUACCCCAGAGGAUACAAGUGGAAACAUCAAAGAAGAAGAACAGAGAGUACAUUUAAGAACAUCUGGUAUAACAUCAAGAAAAUCUGUCUACAAGACAAGCAAAGUCCAUCUCCUUUCCUGGCCUCUGCAUUGAGAUGCAUCAGAGAAGUCAUUUACUACAAGUGGUUGAAUCAGGAAUUUAACUCAUAAAGCC
rnacentral:lncRNA from 1 species